UCAGGUUGAAACUGAUGCCAGGGAAAGGAAGUCAGUGUAGAAGCAGCCCUGAGUAGGGCUGAAAUGACUAAUAACAGUUGCAAAGAAGAGCCUACAGCUGCAGAGAAGUCAAAGUCUGAAGGUAACAAGUCCCUGACUCUUUCAGCUGCAAAGGUUCUUAUUAAAGGACUUGGAAAUCCAAGGGAGAGACUGUCUUACCAGAUUCAGUAUAGUGGAUGAACAACGCUAACCUGAACAUAGGAAAAGACAUCUUCUUAAGCUCUACUUUGACCUGCUUGAGUGAAAUCUCAAAGUUUUGCUGCCUCUAAAACUAAGGAAUAAUUUAUUGCACAUAAUUACAUCUAUUUAGCAAAUUCUAUAUGGUUGUAGGUAGUCUGAAAAUAUUUAUACUCAAACUUAUAAUUCAGUAACUGGUUUCUGAAGUAUUUUCAUAAACAGCACAUUGUAUGAAAUGCAUGUUGUAAAUGAAACUAAGAGUUGCUCUGUUUGACAAAUUGAAAAUACUGUAUUUAUACUACAUAGGGUGAUAGCAUGAAUCACCAUAAACAUUUGAAGAUCUCAAGAUCACUCAUUCAAUACAGAAAUUAAACUAAACAACACAAAUUAGAAAUGGAUAAAAUCUAUCACUCUAUCCAGUCCAUCUCUCACCCCUGUAAGAGAUCGGUGUCUUAUUUUACAUGUUGCAAGAACUUGGCCAGUACCUCUGAAAGAUUAUUCCCUAGCUCAAUAAAGCUGCUGAUAAAGAUACAAGGGAAAUGUAAGCUGACUAUUAGGAAAGACUUCCUUGUUCUAUCACGAAAAAUGAUCAAACAAAGACAAAACUAAUCAACUUUAGACUUUGUACAUGAACAGAAAGGCAAAAAGGAAAGAACAAAAAAAAAAUUAAAAAAAAAUCUACCUGCCAG